UACAGAGGUCCCAAGCGUUGUUCGGAUUCAUUGGGCGUAAAGGGUGCGUAGGCGGCGCGGUAAGUCGGGUGUGAAAUCUCGGAGCUUAACUCCGAAACUGCAUUCGAUACUGCCGUGCUUGAGGACUGGAGAGGAGACUGGAAUUUACGGUGUAGCGGUGAAAUGCGUAGAUAUCGUAAGGAAGGCCAGUGGCGAAGGCGGGUCUCUGGACAGUUCCUGACGCUGAGGCACGAAGGUCAGGGGAGCAAACGGG
rnacentral:rRNA from 1 species